CCUACGGGGGGCAGCAGUGGGGAAUAUUGCGCAAUGGGCGAAAGCCUGACGCAGCGACGCCGCGUGAGGGAUGAAGGUCUUCGGAUCGUAAACCUCUGUCAGCAGGGAAGAACGGUCACUGUGCUAAUCAGCAGUGAAUUGACGGUACCUGCAAAGGAAGCACCGGCUAACUCCGUGCCAGCAGCCGCGGUAAUACGGAGGGUGCGAGCGUUAAUCGGAAUUACUGGGCGUAAAGCGCUCGUAGGCGGUAUGUCAAGUCAAGGGUGAAAUCCCCGCGCUCAACGUGGGAACUGCCUUUGAAACUGACAGACUGGAGUGUGUGAGAGGAUAGUGGAAUUCGAGGUGUAGGAGUGAAAUCCGUAGAUAUCUGGAGGAACAUCGGUGGCGAAGGCGACUAUCUGGCACAUAACUGACGCUGAGGAGCGAAAGCGUGGGUAGCAAACAGGAUUAGAUACCCUAGUAGUC
rnacentral:rRNA from 1 species